rnacentral:other from 1 species
GAAUAUCUGAGAAGUGCGUGAUGUGUUGAAUUAUAUUUUGACCUAACACUUUUUUUAACGGGAGCCCGCUUGUUUUCCUACAAAAAACAUGCCUGCUUGACAGGACGUUUGGAGUAGGGAACAGGGCACCCACCUGCAAAUAGCAGGCCAAAAUAAUCAACAAAUACACACGGCUUACGCUCGGAUAUUUC